rnacentral:rRNA from 1 species
AGCGAACGCUGGCGGCAGGCUUAACACAUGCAAGUCGAGCGGGCCCUUCGGGGUCAGCGGCGGACGGGUGAGUAACGCGUGGGAACGUGCCUUCUGGUUCGGAAUAACUCAGGGAAACUUGAGCUAAUACCGGAUACGCCCUUUUAGGGAAAGGUUUACUGCCGGAAGAUCGGCCCGCGUCUGAUUAGCUAGUUGGUGGGGUAACGGCCUACCAAGGCGACGAUCAGUAGCUGGUCUGAGAGGAUGAUCAGCCACACUGGGACUGAGACACGGCCCAGACUCCUACGGGAGGCAGCAGUGGGGAAUAUUGGACAAUGGGCGCAAGCCUGAUCCAGCCAUGCCGCGUGAGUGAUGAAGGCCUUAGGGUUGUAAAGCUCUUUUAUCCGGGACGAUAAUGACGGUACCGGAGGAAUAAGCCCCGGCUAACUUCGUG